rnacentral:rRNA from 1 species
AGUUGCCAGCAUCGGUUGGGCACUCUAGAGGGACUGCCGGCGACAAGUCGGAGGAAGGUGGGGAUGACGUCAAAUCAUCAUGCCCUUAUGACCUGGGCUACACACGUGCUACAAUGGGCGGUACAAAGGGCUGCGAACCCGCGAGGGGGAGCGAAUCCCAAAAAGCCGCUCUCAGUUCGGAUUGCAGGCUGCAACUCGCCUGCAUGAAGCCGGAAUCGCUAGUAAUCGCGGAUCAGCAUGCCGCGGUGAAUACGUUCCCGGGCCUU